ensembl:lncRNA
AAAUGUCACGUUUUGGGUGACGAACCUUGACGCGUGAACAGGUUCCUGCUCCUCUUCCACGGCGUUAAUCUGCAGACAGACAGAUGUCCAACAACCGCCUGAAACAAACAACAACAAAUAUCAACAUCUAUCAUUUUUCUACAGUUGAGCGCAAAAGUUUACGUCCCCAAUGGCUUUCAAAUGUUUUGGGGGAAAAAAGGAGCAAAAUGGAGCCUGAUGCAAAUUCUCCCACACGCUGAAGUGCACGUCGGCUCUAACCGUG